rnacentral:SRP_RNA from 1 species
GCUGGGCGUGGUGGCGGGCGCCUGUAAUCCCAGCUACUGGGAGGCUGAGGCAGGAGAAUGGCGUGAACCCAGGAGGCGGAGCUUGCAGUGAGCCGAGAUCGCGCCACUGCACUCCAGCCUGGGUUACAAAAGAAGAUCCUGUUUUUU